UGGGGAAUAUUGCACAAUGGGGGAAACCCUGAUGCAGCAACGCCGCGUGAGUGAUGACGGUCUUCGGAUUGUAAAGCUCUGUCUUCAGGGACGAUAAUGACGGUACCUGAGGAGGAAGCCACGGCUAACUACGUGCCAGCAGCCGCGGUAAUACGUAGGUGGCGAGCGUUGUCCGGAUUUACUGGGCGUAAAGGGAGCGUAGGCGGAUUUUUAAGUGGGAUGUGAAAUACUCGGGCUCAACCUGAGUGCUGCAUUCCAAACUGGAAAUCUAGAGUGCAGGAGAGGAAAGUGGAAUUCCUAGUGUAGCGGUGAAAUGCGUAGAGAUUAGGAAGAACACCAGUGGCGAAGGCGACUUUCUGGACUGUAACUGACGCUGAGGCUCGAAAGCGUGGGGAGCGAACA
rnacentral:rRNA from 1 species